rnacentral:rRNA from 1 species
UACGUAGGGUGCGAGCGUUAAUCGGAAUUACUGGGCGUAAAGCGUGCGUAGGCGGUGGCUCAAGCCAGGCGUGAAAUCCCCGGGCUUAACCUGGGAAUGGCGUUUGGGACUGGGUCGCUAGAGUGUGGCAGAGGGAGGUGGAAUUCCACGUGUAGCAGUGAAAUGCGUAGAGAUGUGGAGGAACACCGAUGGCGAAGGCAGCCUCCUGGGCCAGCACUGACGCUCAUGCACGAAAGCGUGGGGAGCAAACAGG